rnacentral:rRNA from 1 species
UACGUAGGGAGCAAGCGUUGUCCGGAAUCUUGGGCGUAAAGCGCGCGUAGGCGGCCCUGUAAGUCCGUUGUGAAAGUCAAAGGCUCAACCUUUGAAAGCCGAUGGAUACUGCAGGGCUAGAGUCCGGAAGAGGCGAGUGGAAUUCCUGGUGUAGCGGUGGAAUGCGCAGAUAUCAGGAGGAACACCAAUAGCGAAGGCAGCUCGCUGGGACGGUACUGACGCUAAGGCGCGAAAGCGUGGGGAGCGAACGAGG